UACGUAGGGUGCGAGCGUUAAUCGGAAUUACUGGGCGUAAAGCGUGCGCAGGCGGUUCUCCAAGUCCGUUGUGAAAGCCCCGGGCUCAACCUGGGAACUGCAUUUGGGACUGCAAGGCUGGAGUACGGCAGAGGGAGGUGGAAUUCCACGUGUAGCAGUGAAAUGCGUAGAGAUGUGGAGGAACACCGAUGGCGAAGGCAGCCUCCUGGGCUAGUACUGACGCUCAUGCACGAAAGCGUGGGGAGCAAACAGG
rnacentral:rRNA from 1 species